CAGCCAGUGACCAAGCGCCGCCCCCCUUUCGCCGUAGCCAACCACCAGCUCCACGCCGUCGUGCCCCCACCUCUCCAUAAUUUUGACGCAACAGCUGAGAAUCGGGAAUAUGGAGUACUUGCAAGUUUUGUGGAUCAUAGAAGACUAAGUGCCUUAGGGUACAAUGACUUUUGGAGAGUCUUUUGGUAGCGUUGAUAUUUUAUGUGACUUUGGUAUGUUGAGUAAUGAAUAUUUCUAGUCUUUGUGGAAAAGUUUAUGUAUAUCAAUGAGACACCACUGAUGUGCCCUUAUGUAGGAACAUGGAUAUUUGUGUUGAACGAAUAGGUUAAUAUGUUA